GAUGAACGCUGGCGGCGUGCCUAAUACAUGCAAGUCGAGCGAACGGACGAGAAGCUUGCUUCUCUGAUGUUAGCGGCGGACGGGUGAGUAACACGUGGAUAACCUACCUAUAAGACUGGGAUAACUUCGGGAAACCGGAGCUAAUACCGGAUAAUAUUUUGAACCGCAUGGUUCAAAAGUGAAAGGCGGUCUUGCUGUCACUUAUAGAUGGAUCCGCGCUGCAUUAGCUAGUUGGUAAGGUAACGGCUUACCAAGGCAACGAUGCAUAGCCGACCUGAGAGGGUGAUCGGCCACACUGGAACUGAGACACGGUCCAGACUCCUACGGGAGGCAGCAGUAGGGAAUCUUCCGCAAUGGGCGAAAGCCUGACGGAGCAACGCCGCGUGAGUGAUGAAGGUCUUCGGAUCGUAAAACUCUGCUAUUAGGGAAGAACAUAUGUGUAAGUAACUGUGCACAUCUUGACGGUACCUAAUCAGAAAGCCACGGCUAACUACGUG
rnacentral:rRNA from 1 species